rnacentral:lncRNA from 1 species
CCUUCUUGAAGAGGUUGAUCCAUAGCGUUGAUGUCUUCAUUUCUCUACAUCCAUGCAUCAUGAGGAAGCUGUCGUCCUUCCUUUGGGAACUCCAUCGUACUUACAGAGGAGUAAAGGAUGGGUAUACCGGAAGAAUGGAAUUCUGCAUGGUUGCUUAUCCGGUAGAAAAUCAUUAGGGAACGUGGCGAAAAGUAACUCUCGAAUUGAAAUUUACGAAAAUAUCGAGAGCAAGGUAAGGAGGUAACAUGGGAAGUUUCGAGCGGGCAUGCAAUCGCUUGAUGCCUGAAACAGGGCGUGAAAUGGGGUUCAAAGCAAUGGGAAUAAGUAUUGUGUCCGAUACCAGAAUAGAUCACUAGGAUGGUGGUCCGUGAAUUACAUACAAGGCCACGCACGAGGAAUAACUUUAGAAACAGGGGGUGUACAAGAGAGUCAGGUUUCAAUCCUGUGGAACUGCGGGUUAUGGGCCCACCAUGUGGUUUUUUUAUUAUUAUUAUAUUAAUAGGAGCAGUGACAUCUUUCACGGUCAUGAUAGCAAGGCCUGUCAGAGAGUACCAUGUCAGUUAUGUCGGCAACAACGUUGGUACCAAGGGCGAGGGACGAAGAGAACCACCUUCCUGCUCGUUGAACGAGGCGGACCAAUAGGCAAAGUUCUCGUCCAUUGGCGGUUACCGGAAGUCAUCAACAGUAGAAACAAGGUCUUACCGACAGAGUUGUACAUCGAGGUGUUUGCACAAGCAGUGGAUUAUUACUGCUCAUAUCAUAUAGAUCAUAGAAAAGGUUUAAUCAAACCAAUGGAAGGAAAAUAUGAUCAUCAGAUUAAACGGAACAAUGGAAAGGAAAAUAUGUUUAAACACAUUUUUCAAGGGUAUAUCCUUCCCAAGGACAAGCAGAGCAAGAUAUCCAUGACAGGAUAUAAAGUAGAAAACCAUUUAGGUAAGGGGGAAGGAAUCUCAUGAUAUUACCCAUACAACGGUGUUAGGAUAAUUGGGCAGGAAACAUUUAACAUUGGGCUUCAAAUGUUCUUGUUGAAAAUCAGAGUAUCACAGACAUGCUUCGAGAUAGCAUUGACAUGGUCUUCAAGUAAAGGCCGGUUUUUAGAUACUCAAUGGAUCCAUCAGGAAUAGUUUAUAACAUAGGUCUUACAAUUUCCUCCAAGAAGAAUGGUUAUCCUUGCAAAUAAACCAUAAUGAUAGGUCCUCUAGCCAGGGGGGGUGCUAGGCAUGACAUCCUGUUACCAGGUCAUCAAAGCGCCAACAACAUAACUCUUGGAAAGUUGUCCCAACCAUCAUAUCUGACCGAGAUUCAGAUACGAUUGGUGUAAUGAUACCUCAGACUCAGGAUGUCCGAGAAUAAAAGGUGCAACCCAAAUAGACGAAAUGACAUUUCAGGAUUCUCAGGAAAUGAACUAUGGGAGUGGGUUCCUGAAACAAUAGUUCAUCAUUAAACCAAGGAGAGGAGGAGGUGGCUGAUGGGCUCGGCGAUAAUCCAUCGAGAUUUUCGACAAGAUGGAUUUCCACAAUUAUGUGAACAAGGAGAUAACAUUUGUCAGAUCAAAUGGUAUAAUGAUGUAUGCUCGAGGAAACAUAUUCAAUUAAACAUUGGUUUAAAGGUGCACCCAAAUAUGGGUUGGGUUGCACGAUCAAUGUUAGAGUGGUGACUUGACGAACAAAAGAAUUAGAAUGAAACUCGACCAUUACUUCAAAGCAAUAGGGUUGCUAGAAGUUUUGAAUUCACACCUCAUAGUCCAAUUGUCGGUAUUCCGGUUAGAAACAACAUGGGUACCAAGAAAGAAUGGUGAGGGUGAGAAGUAUCACCAUACCAAGAAUUCUUAAGAGGUGGAGUAAUCCUCACGACCUUCUUGACAUAAAAGAUGGUAAUACUCCAUGGUAAAGAAGAACAAAUGCUAGGUAGCAAGGAACUCGAGGUAUAACACAGAACACAAACAAGUUUUUGUUGGAGGGAACGCAAUAAAGAGGUCGAUGACAACACAAAUCAUCGAGGGCAAGGAUGGUAUUUCUCAUCAUUAAUUCAAUUGAUAUCCUGGAAGAGCAUCAGAAUGUAGAUGGUGAUCAUGACACAUUUGUCGAGAGAUUCCACGAAGAUGUAAUCGAUCCGCGAUCACAUCAAGUCAAAAGAAUGAUGAAGCAAGAGGUUAUUGGAACCAUAGGUACGACACAAACUUGAAAUCAAGAUUGUUAUUCAAGGCGAACUGAUAUGACGAGGAAGAUCGACGUAAGCUUAGCUCAUUUUCAAAAGUUGUGCUCCAGGAUUAAGGACCAGGUAGCACAGUUAAAAUUUAGCAUGGUAAUGAUAUGGCCGAUCAGGCUAGGAAUGACAUGAUCGGGUACAAACUUGUAAGUAAAGAAUAUUAGUAAGAGUUGUUGAACCGUAAUGCGGACUUGGUUCAGUUAUCGGUGUCUUUGAGUGUUUAAUAACUCAGAGCCCAUGAAAAAUUGUAACCAGUGAGUAUGUAGUACUUGAUGAAGAACUCAUAGGAAGUUAUGCAGUUCCAAGAUAAUCUCGAGAUACCAUGGGGUAAUACUCGACGACAGAUCAAAGUAGAGGUUGUACCGGGGUAUUGAUCCACAGAAGACAAGUGCUUACACUUGCAUCGAAAAUGGUAUUUAAAGGAGAACAUGGUCGAAACCACGAUUGUAAAAGGCCAUACCCCAGAUAUAAGAUGAACUUAUAUCAAGGGAAUAAUUAAUUUUAAAAGAAGCUUCGAUGAGAAGAUGUACAUCGGGUCCAUGGGCAUGAACACAAAGUUCAAGGUCGACUCCCACUUCUCCAAUGCAUAACCUUUCAUCCACUUCUCACGUUCGAUGAAGUUGCAGUGUUGAAAAUUUAUCUGGUGAAGCACCAGAAGAGUAUGACUCGUGAAAACUUUCGGGUUCACACGGUUUAGAGAAGGCAUAUGUUCAACCCAUAGGGGCUUCUUAGAAACAUAUACCACAAGUUUCAAGAGUAAAUAACACAAGCCCGAAAGCAGAGCAUGGUUGGCCAAGCAGAGGAUACAACUUAACAAAGGCAUUAUGUAUCAGGGAAAGAACUCACAAAGUGAUCAAAUGUGUAGGACACUGUCGGAUAACAAUCCAACAAAGGACUUGAUGGUCCACAAAGGAUCUGAUACGAGUAUCGGUACUCAACUAGAGGAAGAAGAAUGCAAGGAGAUCAGAUUAUAGAAACAACUGACUAACUCAAUUGUCAAAUGCAAAGGAAUUAUGAUUUCCAAAUCAAGGGAUCAGAAGCAAUGCUCUGAUUAGGGAUGGAUAAGUUGAAUAGCCUUAGGGUACGAUCAACGACAAUUGGAUUGGUCGAGAACCAAUUCCAGUUAAAAGAAUGGAAGCUCAGCCGGAAAGGUAAUUUAUAAGGAUCAAUGAUGAUUGCGUGUAUUCGCAACAUAUUGAGUCAACAGACUCAAAAUGAUAAUGACAAGGAAUGUCAAUAAGAUUUCUAUACUUAUGGGAUUAAUCAUAAUGAAAGCAAACAAGAAAUUCCAGAGCAAUAGGUUGCUGAGGAUUUUCGGAAUAUUGGGUGGUAUUUCAAAGACUUUUGUGUAACACAUGAACAACUGGGGGAUGAGUGGAUACUCGAUAAGUGCGAGAAUUAACCGUAGGGGUAUUCAAGUGACAAAGAACAGCAAGGCAGUAAGCUCAAGGGAUUAUCGAAACAACGACGAGUUUUUCAGGGUAUCUUGUAAUAACAAGACCACUGGGGAUGAAUGUAAUAAUAACAAAUGCAAGUAGUUAUCCAUAAGGGUUUGCGGUGGAAGGUGAAUUGCAAACGCGAUGUACACAAGUUCUUGGGUUAACAGCGGAGCGUAUCUUCAGGGUCUUCUGGUGCAGCAGACGAUCAUUAGUAAUAAGGGGCUCUCCGGGUGAAAGUGAUAACGAGAUCCUAAUGUUAGAUUUAGUAAACUUCAUUUAACCUGAAUAGAGAAGAGAUCAGAGUCCCAGAGUAAAGGUCGAGGAGUAAAAGAUCCUACUACCACCCGAUGGCGACGUGGGCCCGUAAGGCACACAGCCAAGUUAGUAAAAGUUUUUGUAAUGUCUAGACUCGACUUCGGCCAAGGAGUGUGGAAGGGGGAUUCCUACAGGCAGUUGGCUCUGAUACCAACUUGUGACGCCCCCGAUUCAAUCGUACACUAAUCAUGCACGCAAAUGUGUACGAUCAAGAUCAGGGACUCACGGGAAGAUAUCACAACACAACUCUAAAACAUAAAUAAGUCAUACAAGCAUCAUAAUACAAGCCAGGGGCUUCGAGGGCUCAAAUACAAGUGCUCGAUCAUAGACAAGUCAGCGGAAGCAACAAUAUCUGAGUACAGACAUAAGUUAAACAAGUUGCCAUAAGAUGGCUAGCACAAACUGGGAUACAGAUCGAAAGAGGCGCAGGCCUCCUGCCUGGGAUCCUCCUAACUACUCUUGGUCGUCGUCAGCGGCCUGCACGUAGUAGUAGGCACCUCCAGUGUAGUAGGAAUCAUCGUCGAAGGUGGCGUCUGGCUCCAGGGCUCCAGCAUCUGGUUGCGACAACCAGGUAAAAGGAAAAGGGGGAAAAGAGGGAGAAAAGCAACCGUGAGUACUCAUCCAAAGUACUCGCAAGCAAGGAACUACACUACAAAUGCAUGGGUAUAUGUGUAAGGAGGCCAUCUCGAUGGACUGAACUGCAGAAUGCCAGAAUAAGAGGGGGAUAGCUAGUCCUAUCGAAGACUACGCUUCUGGCAGCCUCCGUCUUGCAGCAUGUAGACGAGAGUAGAUUGAAGUCCUCCAAGUAGCAUCUCCAAGUAGCAACUCCAAGUAGCAACUCCAAGUAGCAUCUCCAGGUAGCAUCUCCAGUAGCAUCGCAUAGCAUAAUCCUACCCGGCGAUCCUCCCCUCGUCGCCCUGUGGAAAAGCGAUCACCGGGUUGUCUGUGGAACUUGGAAGGGUGUGUUUUAUUAAGUAUCCGGUUCUAGUUGUCAUAAGGUCAAGGUACAACUCCAAGUCGUCCUGUUACCGAAGAUCAUGGCUAUUCGAAUAGAUUAACUUCCCUGCAGGGGUGCACCAACUUACCCAACACGCUUGAUCCCAUUUGGCCGGACACACUUUCCUGGGUCAUGCCCGGCCGCGGAAGAUCAACACGUCGCAGCCCCACCUAGGCACAACAGAGAGGCCAACACGCCGGUCUAAACCUAAGCGCGCAGGGGUCUGGGCCCAUCGCCCUGAGCACACCUGCACGUUGCGUGGGCGGCCGAAAGCAGACCUAGCCUAGUGGCGUUCCAGUCCAAUUCGGCGCGCGCCGCUCCGUCGCUGACGUCUGAAGUGCUUCGGCUGAUACCACGACGCCGGGAUACCCAUAACUACUCCCACGUAGAUGGUUAGUGCGUAUAGGCUCGUAGCCAACUCAGAUCAAAUACCAAGAUCUCGUUAAGCGUGUUAAAUAUCCGCAAAUGCCGAACAGGGCCAGGCUCACCUCUCUCCUAGGCGGUCUCAACCUGCCCUGUCGCUCCGCCUCAAAGAUCCACUCGCGGGUGCUCCACCAGCCGACCCGACUUUAGUCUCCACAUGUAUCAUGUAUAAAGUAUAUAGUAUAUACCCGUGAUCACCUCCCGAGUGAUCACGGCCCGAUAGUAUAGCACAGCAGACGGACAAUAAUGUAGGGCCACAGAUGGAAAUAGUAGCAUCCUAUACUAAGCAAGUAGGAUUGCAGGUAAAGGUAACAACAGUAGUAACAAGGACAGGCUAUGCAUCAGGAUAGGUAUAACAGAAAGCAGUAACAUGCUACACUACUCUAAUACAAGCAGUAUAGAGUAGAAUAGGCGAUAUCUGGUGAUCAAGGGGGGGGCUUGCCUGGUUGCUCUGGCAAGAGAGAGGGGUCGUCAACUCCGUAGUCGAACUGGGCCGCAGCAGCGUCGGUCUCGUAGUCUAUCGGAGAGAAGAGGGGGAAGAAACAAUGAAUACCAUGUAAACAUAAGCCUAUCGAUGCAUGACAUGACAAGUAACAAUGCUAGGCGUGCCCUAGCGUGGUAUGAGGUGGUACCAGUUAAGGGGGGGAACAUCCGGGAAAAUAUCCCCGAUGUUUCGUGUUUUUGGACAGAGGAGCCGGAGGGGGAAGGUUGCGGGUUCAAUAGGUUAGGGGUGUGUGGCGGACGAACGGACUGCGUAUCCGGAUUCGUCUCGUCGUUCUGAGCAACUUUCAUGUUGAUAAUAUUUUAAUCCGAGUUACGGAUUAAAAGAUAUGAUUUUCUAAAGAUUUUAUUAAUUUCUGAAAUCUAAUUAAUUAUUUAAUUUAAUUUGAAAAUGGACUUAUGACAUCAGCAUGAUGUCAUGCUGACGUCAGCAGUCAACAGAGUUGACUUGGUCAACCUGACAUGUGGGUCCAGUGGGACCCACCUGUCAUUCUCUGUUUAGUUUAAUUAUAGAUUAGUUAAUUUAAUUAGUGAUUAGGUUAAUCUAAUCAGGAUUAAUUAACUUAAUUAAUUACUAAUUAAUUAAUUAAUUUAAUUAUUAUUAUCUAUUUAUUUAUUUUUAUUAUUACUAUUAUUAUUUUAAAUGUCCUGGGGGCUAGGCCCCACAUGUCAUUGGGCCAGGGGCUAACGGGCGCGCGGGCGACGGGUUUCGGUCACGGCGUCAACGGGCGAACCCGAGCGGCGCCGUCGGCGCGACGAGCGGCACCGGACGAGGACGAGCGAGGCACGGGGGUCGCUCGAUGGGGACGCCGGCAGAAGGGCAGCGGCGGGCGCGGGCGCUUGACUGGGGCGGACCCGAGCGCGCGAGGGGGGCGUGGCGGUGCGGCAGUAGCAGCCGUGGCAGGGGCGGCGUCAUGCGGGUGGAUGGGGAGCUCCGGGCGAGGAGGACCCACGGGCAACCAGCAUCGAGGAGCAGGGGGCGUGGCCACAAGCGGCGCGCGUGCGCGGCCGACGCGGUCAGGGCACGCGGUAGGGGGGAGCAGAGGGCGCGGCGAUGCGGGGAAGAGAGGAGGAGGGGAAGAGGCUCACAUCGAGCCUGUCGUUGUGCAGUCGUGUGCUCGGGGAGGGCCUGAGGUAGAGGGCGCUGUCGAUGGAGUCCGGCGAGGUCCUCGGGCGGCUGCGCGGGCUCCGGGCGGCGGUGAAUCGAGGACGAGGCGGCGGCGUACGGCGGGUCGGGCGCGGCGUCGGAGCUCGCAGAUCGGGAGAAGGGGGAGGCGAGGAGGAGGCGUUCGGCGAGGUCCGGUGACGGGGCCGGGACGGCACCAGGUGGCGGCGUACGGCGUCGGGGCCUCCUCUGGUUCCAGCCCCCGUUUUAGAUCGGGGGAGGGAGAGGGGGGAGAGAGUGGGGAUCGUGCCGGGGGGAAUGGGUGGACCGGCUAGGGUUCCGGUCGGGGUGGGGGUUAAGGGGAGGCCGGCUGGGCCGGCCUGGCGGUCUGGUGGCCUGCUGGGCCGUGGCCCAAUGGGCCAGGGGGGUUUGUGUUUCUUUUUCCCUUUUUUAUUUAUUUACUUUUCUGUUUUAUUUUAGUUACCUUUUAUUUGAGUUUCUGUAAAAUAUAUACAUAGCAUCUAAUUUAGUAUUUCAGUUUAGUCCACCGUCACAAAAUGUCUAGUCCCCAAUUAAUUUUAGUUCGAUAAUUUAUUAGUUAGUAAAGGCACUUAAUUAUUUGUUUUUAUUACUGUUUUAUUUAUUUCAGUGCAAUUAAAUACUUUAUAAAAAUGUGGAUUCCCCACCACAAUUAUUUAUGCAAUAUUUGGCACAUAUAGAACAUUUUAGCUUUAAUGUUUGAAAACUUUUCCGUUUGACUUGAUUUUGAAUUUUUGAAUUCGAACGAGAUUGAACCAUCAUGAGAUUUACAACAGUAAGAGUGGUGACGUGGCAUCAUUAGCAGAGGUUACUGUAGCUUGAUUAUCCGGGCGUCACAAUUCUCCUCCACUACAAGAAAUCUCGUCCCGAAAUUUAAGAGGGGAGUAGGGGGAAGUUCUGGUUACGAAAUUCUAACGUGUCUUCUCGGUCUUGGUUGCCCUUCUUGAAGAGGUUGAUCCAUAGCGUCGAUGUCUUCAUUUCUCUACAUCCAUGCAUCAUGAGGAAGCUGUCGUCCUUCCUUUGGGAACUCCAUCGUACUUACAGAGGAGUAAAGGAUGGGUAUACCGGAAGAAUGGAAUUCUGCAUGGUUGCUUAUCCGGUAGAAAAUCAUUAGGGAACGUGGUGAAAAGUAACUCUCGAAUUGAAAUUUACGAAAAUAUAGAGAGCAAGGUAAGGAGGUAACAUGGGAAGUUUCGAGCGGGCAUGCAAUCGCUUGAUGCCUGAAACAGGGCGUGAAAUGGGGUUCAAAGCAAUGGGA